rnacentral:rRNA from 1 species
UGCCUAAUACAUGUAAGUCGAGCGAACAGACGAGGAGCUUGCUCCUCUGACGUUAGCGGCGGACGGGUGAGUAACACGUGGAUAACCUACCUAUAAGACUGGGAUAACUUCGGGAAACCGGAGCUAAUACCGGAUAAUAUAUUGAACCGCAUGGUUCAAUAGUGAAAGACGGUUUUGCUGUCACUUAUAGACGGAUCCGCGCCGCAUUAGCUAGUUGGUAAGGUAACGGCUUACCAAGGCAACGAUGCGUAGCCGACCUGAGAGGGUGAUCGGCCACACUGGAACUGAGACACGGUCCAGACUCCUACGGGAGGCAGCAGUAGGGAAUCUUCCGCAAUGGGCGAAAGCCUGACGGGACAACGCCGCGUGAGUGAUGAAGGUCUUCGGAUCGUAAAGCUC